rnacentral:lncRNA from 1 species
GCUCCCUUUUGGGAAAUGAACUUUUGGUGAGCUUUACUCUGUCUACUGGAAGUUGCUAUUGAAUACAUUUUUAAUUAAAGAGAAGUAAAGAGGACACAGUGUCUAUUUUCCACAUUUGAUAUAUAUAACUGAUAUACUUCUUUUUUUUUUUUUUUUUUUUUUUUUUUUUUUUAGGGCCCCACCUGCAUGCAGCAUGUGGAGUUUCCUAGGCUAGGAGUUGAAUUGAAGCUGUAGCUGCUGGCCUACGGCAUAGCCACACCCGAUCUGAGCUGUGUCUGCAACCUACACCACAACUCAUGGCAACGCCAGAUCCUUAACCUACUGAGUGAGGCCAGGGAUCGAACCUGCAACCUCAUAGUUGCAGGUUGAUUUUCAGAUUGAUUUUCUUGCUGCGCCAUGACAGGAACUCCCAUAACUGAUAUACUUUUGACUAAAAUAACAGUUCAUGGAGUUCCCAUCUUGGCACAGCAGAAGUGAAUCCGACCAGGAACCAUGAGGUUGUGGGUUUGAUCCCUGGCCUCACUCAGUGGGUUAGGGAUCUGGCGUUGCAGGUCACAGACUUGGGGCUUGGAUCUCGAGUUGCUGUGGCUGUGGUAAUAGGCUGGCAGCUACAGCUCUAAUCUGACCCCUGACCUUGGAACCUCCAUAUGCUGUGUGGCCCUAAAAAAAAAUUUAAAAAAAUACAGUUCAAUAGCAACAUAUUAUUGAGUGUUAUAUUUCUAUUAAAUGUCCUUGAAACUCUUUUAUUUACAUGUGAAUAUUGUAUAAAUUAAGGGUCGAAAGAUAUUAAUGCAGUAUGACAUUUAAACAUGUGUAAUAGCAAAAACUUAGGACAUAAAUGGGUUUAUAAAGUUGUUCCUAUGUUAGGAUUAUGGAAAUUUUCACAUAGUGUUUUUGAAUGUCCCCACAAUAAGCCUGUAUUCAGACAACACAAACCUCCAGUUAUGGUUUUAAAUAAAAGUGCCUCUCUAAUUUUUCUGGCAACCUGGAACCUAGCCCUGUGGUAAUGUCAAAAGGCCAAAUCCCAGAAUAAAUGUAUUAAGUAGAAGUAACUGCUUCUCACCUGGCCAUUUGUGAUUUCAGUUUCAUGACUUCAGUUUCUACCAAUGCAAACUAGUUGCAUGCAGUUGGCAUUUUCUUAGUGGUCUCUCUUGGAAACAUUCUCUUCAGGCUCCAUGGGGAGAGACUUUAGUAUAAAGAUCUUACAUCUUGAUCCAUUUCUUGCAUUUCAUUAAAACUCCUGUGCAAGAUGGUCUACUUCAAUUAAAAAAAUUUUUUUUUAUCCCAUUAGGUUUUUGCCAAUGGAGUGAUUUUUUAUUCAAUUCUCUAUUAUAACAUACUGCACAAAGGAAUCACUGGAAAAGUUCUUUUAAGGUGUAUUGUUUUCAGCUCAUCAUUUUCAGACAGCAUUCCAAGCACUACCAACAACAAUCUAACAAAGUUCAAAAAUGGCAUUCCUUCUGCCAAGUCUCGUUCUUCCUGGAGCUUAACCAACCCUUGCCUGCUUGGCUUGCCUUGGAUUCCAUACUUCCAAAACCCCUCGGUGAGGAUCCUGAGAACAGGCAGCACAUGCUGGGGUUGGUAGGAGGGAAGAAAAAGCUCAAAACUCUGCUAAUGAGCGCUUUUGUUUUAAAUAGUGUUGAUGUGAUGUCUUACGUUACUUACAGCCACGUAUGGAAAACACUAUCUCCAUGGGUCUAGAUAUGUUCUGGUGUUAUUGAUAAGUAUCCAUUCAUCCCAGUUAUGUCAGAUGAACUAAUCCCCAGCCUAGUUUAAAUAUAAUCUGAUAAUCAAACUGUUCACUUUAAACAGUACUCAGUUGCCGGGAUAAAAGUUGUCAAGUGUCUCAAUCUCUUGACCCCUGGCAGAUGAUAGAUGCUCAAUAUUCAGUGGUCAAAGGCUUAAGUCAAUGUAUUUUCUGUACCAAGUGGCUCAGCAGCUACCCUGCAACUGUUAACUCCCUGUCUUUUUCUUCUGCAGGUAAAGCCACCCCAUCAGUCACUUCUACUUAAAAUGCCUCAUCCUUGUGGUUCAUAAGAGUGCCCCCAUGGCUAUGUUCUAGAUUAUUCUAUAGCAAUCUUGAUAACUAUUGUGAUAGCAAUCUUAAAGUUAAUUUUAAAUCCAGUCAUCCUAGAUUUUGGAAGUUUUUGGUGCCACCUUCUGAGAGGCCAUCUAGAAGUUAGGGUUCAGAUAAGUGCCUAAUGCUUUUUUUUUUUUUAAUGUGUUCCUUUUAUUUUUUAUUUAUUUUUAAAACGUAUUCCUUUUAAACAAGUGGCAAAAUAGCUUUUGCAUAUUCUCUUAAGAUAAGAAACAUGUCUUUCUUAGUUUUUAUGGGGAGGUGAUUUUACAAAUAAAACAUGCUGUGUCUUUG